UCCUUUCAUCUCUAUUUUGUUUUUGAGAUAGAUUUUCUCUAAUAUUGCUUGGACUGGCCUCAAACUUCCAUCUUCCUGGCCUCUUCCUCCCAUGUACGUGGGAUUGCAGCCAUGUUUCACCAUGCCGGAUUGAUUCUGGUUUUCUAACUAUUUCAAUUCAAUGAAUCAAAGUGUGUUGCUGAGACCAGCUUCCAGGCAUUUCUACACAGUUCUGAUGGCUGCAGUUGUGAUGACCAAGAUCCUGCCAGUGGUUUCCAGGAGGGAGCAUCCAUGUCUGGAUGAAGGGUACCAGUUCAUUUGGGAGACUCUCCUGGAGAAAGGGGAAGAUGCAACCUGAUACAGAGCUAGUGACUCAACUUGUCAAGACAAUCAGUUUGAUUCCUGUAACAGUCUUCAUAAGUCACAGCAGAGAAAGGACUGCAAGACAAAAUUUAAGUUUUAAGCUCUACUCAGACAACAGUUGAGAAAAUAAGAAUUCAAGUUUAAGAAAAGUCUAUCACUUUGGAAGCAUUUAAGAAGAGAUCCGAUUUGAAGGAUGACAUCAUAUAUACAAGCUGUACUGCACUUGAUUGUAAAAAUGAACCAGGUAGUGACUUAGUGGGGCCAAGCUGACCUUCCUAAAGAACUUAAAUUCUGCUGUCCUGUGAAGUGGGCCUUUCUCAAAAGCACUCCCCAAUCUCUCUAGGUCGGGAUUCUACCAACAGAUGCCAGCUUUAUUCAUUUUACAGUUUGUAGAGAGGUGAAGAACAACAGCUCCCAAUGAUAAUUCAAUUUAAUUUUUUUUCAACUCAAA